GGAAGAUAGCAACUACUGCCUUCAGACAGCAGGCAUCACAGCCUGCCCUCCACAUCUCUCCAGCCUUGGGGGAAGGCAAUUCUGUCACCUAGAGAAAUGGUUCCUGUGUGGCCUCCACGGACUGCAUAUUUGACAACUCCAUCUCUGCCUGGACCUAUGGCAUUGGCUUUGGCUUCGGGGUCAACACCACUUGUUGCCAAGGCAACUGCCAGGAGCCCACUCCUCUCGCAGCUCAGCUGGCCUCACACACCUUGAGCAAUUUCCUGUGUCCUACAUGUUCUGGGAGCUACUUGGGUCCCUGCAAUGCCUCCUUCUACAUGCAGUGUCCCAGUGGGGAGACCCACUGUGUCCAGCUGGACCUGGUGUCUGAAGAAGGUAAGGUGUGUGUGCACGUGUGAGCCUGAGCACACUGGUUUCGGAUGCAGGCAUGCCUGAGUCCGGGGUCUGCCCUCCAUCUUUACUCCAUGUGGCCGGAGGAA